AUGAUAGAGGCGCACCGCAUCAAGAGUAUCCCGGCUGUAAGGAAGUGCUGUCCGUUGGCCGGAAAAAAGGGAUGCGAUGCCGAAGGCGGCUCAAGGUGCAGUGAGCCGACCUGGACCGGCAGUUUAACAGCUGUCGGGCUGUCGCGACACGCGGAGAGCUAUCU
rnacentral:ncRNA from 1 species